rnacentral:rRNA from 1 species
GACAGGUGGUGCAUGGUUGUCGUCAGCUCGUGUCGUGAGAUGUUGGGUUAAGUCCCGCAACGAGCGCAACCCCUACGUUUAGUUGCUAACGCGUGAAGGCGAGCACUCUAGACGAACUGCCGUUGACAAAACGGAGGAAGGUGGGGAUGACGUCAAAUCAUCAUGCCCCUUAUGUUCUGGGCUACACACGUGCUACAAUGGCCGGUACAGACGGACGCAAAGCCGCGAGGUGGAGCAAAUCCUAAAAAGCCGGUCUCAGUUCGGAUUGCAGGCUGCAAUUCGCCUGCAUGAAGUCGGAAUCGCUAGUAAUCGCAGGUCAGCAUACUGCGGUGAAUACGUUCCCGGGCCUU